UACGUAGGGUGCGAGCGUUAAUCGGAAUUACUGGGCGUAAAGUGUGCGUAGGCGGCAGAGCAAGUCGAGUGUGAAAGCCCCGGGCUUAACUUGGGAAUUGCGCUCGAAACUACUUUGCUGGAGUGUGGCAGAGGAAGGUGGAAUUCCACGUGUAGCGGUGAAAUGCGUAGAGAUGUGGAGGAACACCACUGGCGAAGGCAGCCUUCUGGGCCAACACUGACGCUCAUGCACGAAAGCGUGGGGAGCAAACAGG
rnacentral:rRNA from 1 species